ACUGCUCAGUAACACGUCGGUAAUCUGCCCUACGGUCGGGGAUAACCUCGGGAAACUGAGGAUAAUACCCGAUAGGAGAUUGGUCCUGGAAUGGUCUUUCUCUGAAACUCGCGCCGUAGGAUGAGCCGGUGGCUGAUUAGGCAGUUGGUGGGGUAAUGGCCCACCAAACCAAAGAUCAGUACGGGCCAUGAAAGUGGUAGCCCGGAGAGGGACACUGAGAAACUGGUCCCAGCCCUACGGGGUGCAGCAGUUGCGAAAACUUUACAAUGCACGAAAGUGUGAUAAGGGGAUCCCAAGUGCUCAUGUUUUACAUGGGCUUUUGCCAAGGGCAAGAACCUUGGAGAAUAAGUGGUGGGUAAGACUGGUGCCAGCCGCCGCGGUAACCCCAGCGCCACAAGUGGCAACCGCGUUUAUUGGGUCUAAAGCGUCCGUAGCCUGUUUGAUAAAUCUCUUGUGAAAUCGUCGGACUUAACCUGACGGCUUGCAGGAGACACUGUCUGACUUGAGACCGGAAGGGGUGUGAAGUAUGGUGCGGGGAACGGUAAAAUGUGAUAAUCCGCGCUAGACUACCAAUGGCGAAGGCAUCACACCAGGACGGAUCUGACGGUGAGGGACGAAAGCUAGGGGAGCGAACCGGAUUAGAUACCCGAGUAGUCCUAGCUGUAAACGCUGUGAGCAAGGUGUUGCAUAUUCCUCGGGAAUAUGCAGUGUCGAAACGAAGGUGUUAAGCUCACCACCUGGGAAGUACGGUCGCAAGACUGAAACUUUAAGGAAUUGGCGGGGGAGCAC
rnacentral:rRNA from 1 species